AGAAAAAUGAAUACCUGGCCAUCUUUGAAUCUCUGCAGCUCAGCUACACUUUGAAGUGAAAAGAACUCAGAGAAAGGAGCUGCAGACUCUUUCAUCGAUCUACUACUGCAUAAUUCUGUGCAACAUGUCUUGACAAAGACAAAACAAGGAUCGGUGCAGCCAUUAUAAAUAUGCAUGGCUUGCAGGUGGAGCAGCAGUGCAGUCAUAAUGCUCGCAUCUGGCAUCUGUAUGUUAAGCAAACUGCCAGAGUUUCUAUACAGAUGGAAGCAAUGAGGUGUGAGGAGAAUUUCUGCUGACAGAACAAUUGUUUUCUGAAGGCAGUGGAAGAGGUCUGAUGCAUCUGCAACCCAAGAAAACCUCCGAAAUACAGUUAAUUUAAGGGCCAGCAACAAAUGUUUUCAGGUUUGUGGUUUAAAGUAA